AUAUCUUUCGAAGAUUACCACCAUAUACUUUUUUUUUUUAAUGUCUGUUCAAUUUGUGCAAUUUUCACACCCUUAAUUUCAACUUCAUUCCCCUUUUCAACUCCGGUAAAUCCCUUUUGUUAUUAUUUAAGCAGAUUUUCUCUUUAUUCCUUUGCUCCUCCAUUUUCUUCUAUCAGUCUUCUGUUGAUUUUCGGGUCCUGAGCAAUAGCUCAUUCAAUGGGCGGUUAAAGGAGAUCUUACUUCAUGACUGAACAAGAUAUCAUUUGUUGAUAUAUCAGAUUUUGUACUGUUACGAAAAUCCUGAAUUACACUCGUUAAUUCGUCAGAUAUACAUUUUCCUACUGUUUUUAAUAAGAGGUUCUUCAUACACUACACGAAAAUCAAUUAGUCAGUGGAUAAUAGGAUGAAGAAGGUCCUGUUAUACUCAUCACAUCUUCAAGAAUGUCUGAAAUUCCGUAGAACCGAACUGAGGGCCUCAAUUUGUUCUUAUUUUGACUGGAAUUCUGAUGGAACUGUCUUGAAUUCUUCGACGUGAGAAUAUCGAGAAAUUUGAUCACCAUAUACCAAGUAAUAUAUUCCUCCAUACUCAAACAGAUCUGCUGACGUUGGCCUUAUAUAUAUCUGGUCCCUCAUUAUCGCUUCUUCUUGUAAAGCGGAUAAAUCAUCUACCUAGCUUUUCUUUUUGUAUAUCUAUACCUCGAUGAGAGCAAUGCUAUUUCAAGAUUAUCUUUCUGUUCAUUUUUUAGAAAUACCAAUCGAUUUCUAAAUAAAACUAAGCCUUCCCCAGUACUCCACUCAGGUCGAUAUUCUUGAUCUCUUACAAGAUUUCACGAAUAUCCUCUACUAAUGGAUAAAUUAUUAUCUCUUCUCCUUCUGAUUGAAUCAUUUCAAUCUGUAUGGUAACCAACUUCUUCUACAAAAUUUUGAUUGACGUCUGGAGAUGACACAGGUGCCCUAGAUAAUAUGUCCUGGAUCAUCUUUCAAACUAUCGUCAAAUGAUGGCAUUCAUUAAAAUUUUCUACAACUCCAUCUUCAAUGUCCUACCGAUAUAUUUCGUAGAGUUUCUUUUGAUGAAAUUGAUGGGGCAAUAUUGAGUAUUGGACUAAUAGCUAUCGAAGAAAAUCAUAAUUUUACCUUUAAUGGUUAUGAGGUGGUUAAUCCUCUAGAAAACGCCUGGCUAGAUUCAGUAAGAGAUCUAUAAGAAUAAUCUCCGUUCAGUGUUGCCUAAGGAAAUUAUAUACUAAAUUUAGUUUGAGUGCAUUUAAUUUUUAAAUAUACUAGUUAUAAACCAAAUAAAGCUUAUGAAAUAAAACUAUACAUCAAGGUA
rnacentral:lncRNA from 1 species